rnacentral:rRNA from 1 species
CACGUAGGGGCCAAGCGUUGUCCGGAUUUAUUGGGCGUAAAGAGCUCGUAGGCGGUUGGGUAAGUCGGGUGUGAAAUCCCUGGGCUCAACUCAGGAACUGCAUUGGAAACUGAAAGGCUGGAGUACCGGAGAGGGAAGCGGAAUUCCUGGUGUAGCGGUGAAAUGCGUAGAUACCAGGAGGAACACCGGUGGCGAAGGCGGCUUCCUGGCCGAGUACUGACGCUGAGGCACGAAAGCGUGGGGAGCGAACGGG